GAUGAACGCUGGCGGCGUGCUUAACACAUGCAAGUCGAACGAAGAAGCCCAGCUUUCUGGGUGGUUUAGUGGCGAACGGGCGAGUGACACACGAGUAAACUGCCCUCCACUCUGGGAUAAGCCUGGACGACUGGGUCGAAUACCUGAUAGAAGAGCCUACCGCCCGGGGGGUGCUGGAGAGAUUUAGCGGUUUUGGGUGGGCUCGCGGCGUAUCAGCUUUUUGGUGAGGGAAUGGUUCACAAAGGGGACGACGGGGAGCCGGCGCGGGAGGGGGAACGGGCACAAUGGGACUGAGAGACGGACCAGACUGCUACGGGAGGCAGCAGUGGGGAAUAUUGCACAAUGGGCGAAAGCCUGAGGCAGCGACGCCGGGUGCGGGAAGACGGCCUUCGGGUUGUAAACCUCUUUCGGUAGGGAAGAAGCGAGAGUGACGGUACCUGCAGAAGAAGCACCGGCUAACUACGUG
rnacentral:rRNA from 1 species